GCUCGGAAAUCACGCGCGAAACUUUCCCUCGCACCGUGCUGAAACGCGAAAAUUGAUUCAAGUACUGUAUACUCGUCGAGAGGAUCGCGUAGGUACGCCCGGGUGUCGUUUCAUAUUCGAGUCGAAGAGUAGCCAGGUUCGCGAGAUUGCAAGAGAAAGAAGAGAGAGAAGGGAGAGAAGGGCGAGGGAGGAAAGGGCUGCCGGUAAAUUUUCAUUAAAAUACAAGGGAAACAUUUCUACCCCGUUAGACGGUGUAUUUGCAUGAAUUAGAAUUUCAAGUGUCGCGCACGCGAAUCGAACGGCCAAUUCUGUGUGUGGGUGCUUUGGAAGAAAAAGGAAAUCGACGUGUUCGUUCACGUGCAAACGAAAAUAACAAAAUGAAAAGGAAGAAGAGAAAAAAAAAAAAGAAAGAAAAAUUGCAAAAGCAAAGGAUGACGACCAGCACUUCUGCUCGCACGAGGAACCGAAACGACCACCAGGAUGACCGACACGCGCGGAGGCGAGGAAAAACUCGCGGAAAAACUCGCGGUUGAAAGGAGCCGCCGCAAAAACUGCAUAAUGAACUGUCUCCACCGCGAUUUCUUCACGGAGACCCUGAUCAACGAGUAAUUAUCGAUGCUUUGCGACAGCUUUCAAGAACCUGAACUCGCUUUUUCUAUUCCCCUUUUUGUCCAGUGAUCAUCGCUGUGGUGUUAAAAAAUACUUCCAAAAGGAUAAGGGUUAGAAUGUUUCCUGAACGGAUAAAAAAACUCGAAAGAAAAAAUGUUCUUCUUCCUACGAAAACACAUUUCCUUAUUCUUUAUCUAUUUUGAUCAAAGUCGUUUCGGAAAAUUUCACCUAACGGGAAGACAAAAUGUUGAGUUUCCGUUCUAUCGUUUGAAAGGCCCAUAGCGAAAACGUGCACGGAUCGUUCCUGAUCCCUUUGCCAUACGGAGAUUGUUAAAUUACGGUGAAUCCGGCCAGCUUAAACGCGCCUCUGUAUUUUGCCGUUGCGGAAACGACAUUAUUGGGCGAUACGAUCGCGCGUGCUUUUAGCAGCUUUCAGAUUUUAUCGGUGUUGCGCAUGAAUAGUCGAUUUUUUUCGGCUCGCGAGACCAGAGAGCAACUGAUUCGCAAACCAGAGCGAAAUACCGGGGGAUAGCAUACCGAUCGGUCAGUCAGCUCGUCUGUGUUUCCUCUGUUUUCCACCGUUUCAAUAUCAACAUUGGGGUGUCUCGUUCCAUCCGCUCUGAUCUUUCGAAAGACGCGAUAACCGUGUUUCAACGGCAAAAGAAAGAAAAAAAAAAAAAAAAAAAAAAA